rnacentral:rRNA from 1 species
AACGAACGCUGGCGGCAUGCCUAACACAUGCAAGUCGAACGAGACCUUCGGGUCUAGUGGCGCACGGGUGCGUAACGCGUGGGAAUCUGCCCUUGGGUUCGGAAUAACAGUUGGAAACGACUGCUAAUACCGGAUGAUGACGUAAGUCCAAAGAUUUAUCGCCCAAGGAUGAGCCCGCGUAGGAUUAGCUAGUUGGUGAGGUAAAGGCUCACCAAGGCGACGAUCCUUAGCUGGUCUGAGAGGAUGAUCAGCCACGCUGGGACUGAGACACGGCCCAGACUCCUACGGGAGGCAGCAGUGGGGAAUAUUGGACAAUGGGCGAAAGCCUGAUCCAGCAAUGCCGCGUGAGUGAUGAAGGCCUUAGGGUUGUAAAGCUCUUUUACCCGGGAUGAUAAUGACAGUACCGGGAGAAUAAGCUCCGGCUAACUCCGUG